GCUGGCAUAUGUGAUGACUGAAUUUUUUCCCCGGCAGAUCGACCAUGUUGAUCUAUCUUUACUUAGCCAGUUUUUGUCUGAUAUGCCAGC